UAGGGAAUCUUCCGCAAUGGACGAAAGUCUGACGGAGCAACGCCGCGUGAGUGAUGAAGGUUUUCGGAUCGUAAAGCUCUGUUGUUAGGGAAGAACAAGUGCCGUUCAAAUAGGGCGGCACCUUGACGGUACCUAACCAGAAAGCCACGGCUAACUACGUGCCAGCAGCCGCGGUAAUACGUAGGUGGCAAGCGUUGUCCGGAAUUAUUGGGCGUAAAGGGCUCGCAGGCGGUUUCUUAAGUCUGAUGUGAAAGCCCCCGGCGCAACCGGGGAGGGUCAUUGGAAACUGGGGAACUUGAGUGCAGAAGAGGAGAGUGGAAUUCCACGUGUAGCGGUGAAAUGCGUAGAGAUGUGGAGGAACACCAGUGGCGAAGGCGACUCUCUGGUCUGUAACUGACGCUGAGGAGCGAAAGCGUGGGGAGCGAACA
rnacentral:rRNA from 1 species